rnacentral:lncRNA from 1 species
GGCAGGGCACGGUGGCUCAGACUUGUGACUCAUUUGUAGAAGUGGGCCCUGUAUUCAGAAGUCAUUCAUUGAGGUGCCCUUCUACAAGGGCCAGGACCUCCUCCAGGCCACAGCAGUCACCUGGAUGAUGAGGGCUCCAGGAGGCACCCUCAACCCUGGAAUUCUCUUUUUCAAAUAAGAGAUCCAGGUGAGAACCGUGAGGAUGGGCACUUGGACAGGAAGAGGUUGCUUUGGCCCGAGCAGCAACAACGUUGGUCACUCAAGCCUUCACCAGGUUCUGCUCCACACAGAAGGAAGGAAAGCCCAUCUCAUCAGGCCUUGGGCACCAACAACACAAAUAGUUCCUUGCUAGCAAUA